UACGAAGGGGGCUAGCGUUGCUCGGAAUUACUGGGCGUAAAGGGCGCGUAGGCGGUGUGUCAAGUCAGGCGUGAAAGCCCCGGGCUCAACCUGGGAACCGCGCUUGAGACUGGCACGCUCGAGUUCGGGAGAGGAUGGUGGAAUUCCCAGUGUAGAGGUGAAAUUCGUAGAUAUUGGGAAGACACCGAUGGCGAAGGCAGCCAUCUGGACCGACACUGACGCUGAGGCGCGAAAGCGGUGGGGAGCAAACAGG
rnacentral:rRNA from 1 species